rnacentral:rRNA from 1 species
GACGAACCACACGAACGUUAUUCGGAAUCACUGGGCUUAAAGGGUGCGUAGGCGGCGCGGAAAGUAGGGUGUGAAAUCCCUCGGCUCAACCGAGGAACUGCGCUCUAAACUACCGUGCUCGAGGGAGACAGAGGUGAGCGGAACUUAGGGUGGAGCGGUGAAAUGCGGUUGAUAUCCUAAGGAACACCGGUGGCGAAAGCGGCUCACUGGGGUCUCUUCUGACGCUGAGGCACGAAAGCUAGGGUAGCGAACGGG